GACGACCGCUGGCGGCGUGCUUAACACAUGCAAGUCGAACGGAAAGGCCCGCUUUUUGCGGGAUGCUGGGGUGGCGAGGGGGGGAGUAACUCGUAAGUAACCUGCCCUUGACUUAGGACUACCUUCAGGAAACGGGGGUAAAUCCCGCAUAGGGGCUCCUGCUGCAUGGGGGGGGUUGGAAAGUUUCGGCGGUUGGGGCUGGACUCGCGGCUUAUAGGCUUGUUGGUGGGGUAGUGGCUUACCAAGGCUUCGACGGUUAGCCGGCCUGAGAGGGUGACCGGCCACAUUGGGACUGAGGGACGGCGCAGACUCCAACGUGAGACAGCAGGGGAGAAUAUUGCACAGUGGGCGGAAGCGUGAUGCAGCAGUGCCGCGUGCGGGAUGACGGCCUUCGGGUGGUAAACCGCUGUCGCCUGUGACGAAGCGGGAGUGACGGUAAUGGGUAAAGAAGCACCGGCUAACUACGUG
rnacentral:rRNA from 1 species